UACAGAGGUCUCAAGCGUUGUUCGGAUUCAUUGGGCGUAAAGGGUGCGCAGGUGGCGCGGCAAGUCGGAUGUGAAAUCCCGGGGCUCAACCCUGGAACUGCAUUGAAUACUGCCGUGCUAGAGUGACUGGAGAGGAGAUGGAAUUUACGGUGUAGCAGUGAAAUGCGUAGAGAUCGUAAGGAAGACCAGUGGCGAAGGCGAGUCUCUGGACAGUUACUGACGCUGAGGCACGAAGGCCAGGGGAGCAAACGGG
rnacentral:rRNA from 1 species